ensembl:rRNA 5S_rRNA 5S ribosomal RNA
AGUCCAAGAGGAGCCUGAAUGCCCCAUCUCAUCUGAUCCCAAGAGCUAAGCAGGGUCAGGCCUGGUUAGUUCUUGGAUGGGGUCGUUAACAGGACACCAGGUGUUGAGACUU